UGGAAAUGUAGUAUCAAUCCUACAUCCGACGUAUAUACUUAUCUUCUUAUUCUAAUACAAGUACUACUCACUGGUGUUUGGCAUGCUGCUGCCUCCCCUGUGUUUUAACUGUUAGGCCAUGCAUCUUCAUAUAGGGCUGGGCACGGUCUCAGACCGACACCCCAAAAGUGAAGCCCGAGCCCGGACCGACAGGUGUGCAGACGGGCCGGUCUUAGCCUUAAAAAUUUCCGGGACCGGCAAAAGCCCGAACCGGCAUAAAUCGGGCCGGUCUUGCCGGUUUUCGGUCUUUUUCCGACAUAAACUGGACAACAACGUUCUGCCUCUCCAAACAGAAACCAAAAGGCUUACCUUUUCACCAUCUCAAGUUGACCUUCUUGACUGAUCGAAAACUCAACUUCUUCAAAUCUAGCCAACUCUUCCAUGCAUCUACGCCAUCUCCAAGUCUGAUUCUCCUCCCUCUCCUCCCUCACCUCCCUCUCCUUCCUUCGAAGUCAGCGGCGUCCCCUUCAAGGCUUCAACCCCGACGGCUGGGGCCCACCGGACUGCGCCAUCACCACAACUACCACCUCCAACCUCCCCCUCAACAUCCCCUUCGCCCCUUUCUCCCGCUCCGAGAAGCUCGGUCACAUCGCCGACUGGACCCGCACCUUCAACUACCCCUCCUGCUCCAAAAACCCAGAUGAUUUUACAACCCAUCUUCGUAAAAUCAAAAAUCCAGAAUUCAAACAAACCUGCAAAGGCGAUGGAAGUUGAGAGGGAAUGAGAGAUUAGAAUUUGUACUGGAGGCAGUGGGCGACUUGGUGUCUUGGUUUGUGGUCGGAGGCAGAUGAUGGCGACUGGUGAGGCGUCGAUGCGUCUUAGAGUGGCGAGUCGACGGGCGGCGGCAGCGUAGACUAGAGAGGCA
rnacentral:lncRNA from 1 species